GGAUGUGAGGGCGAUCUGGCUGCGACAUCUGUCACCCCAUUGAUCGCCAGGGUUGAUUCGGCUGAUCUGGCUGGCUAGGCGGGUGUCCCCCUCCUCCCUCACCGAUCCAUGUGCGUCCCUCCCGAAGCUGCGUGCUCAGUCGAAGAGGACGACCUUCACCCCCCCCCCCCCCCCCCCCCGCCCGAGGAGAGGACCGGUCUUCGGUCAGGGGUAUAUGAGUAGCUGCGCUACCCUGCUAGAACCUCCAAGCAAGCUCUCAAGAAAUACAAAUAAAGUUCUUUAGACAGAAAAGAAGAAAUCUAAAUUCACACACACACACACACACACACACACACACACACACACACACAGCAGUGGU
rnacentral:snRNA from 1 species